rnacentral:lncRNA from 1 species
ACUCUCUCAUCUCUCAAGAUACAAGUUCAAUGUCUGAUGAAGAAAAAGCUGAACGUGUUGCUGCCAUGAAGUGUCUUAGGAAGUCUUUAUUUCCUGAAAUAAGCUAGUCAGGUAUGCACACAUUAUGUAGUUUAAUUUUUUAUUCAGUUAUAGAAUAGCUGAUAACUGAUUAUAUAAUGAUUUCAAGUAUAGGAUAAUUAAUUUUGGGCGCUGGAAGCCAUGGUGAGUUGUCUUCUGCUGGACAACAGAAAAAUAUUUGCUAGUUCUUUUAGUAAACAGCCCAGCUGAUGAUGGCCUGUUGCCUUCGUUUACACAGGCAUUAGAUGAAACCUACUUGUGUGAACAUGUCUACUUGUCGAAUGUUUGAAUAUGUCUACUUGUGUGAACCUAUGUGAAUGCGUGGUAAACACCUGAUCUGCCAGAUUUUUCAGUUACUUGUAUGUUAAAUAGUCCACUGUCUGCAUGUCUCCCCUUGUAAAACUGUCCACCGACUGCAUGUCUCCUUUGAAACCGCGUACAGACUGCAUAUCUCCCGUAUGAAAUUCCAUCCAUUCAUAGGCUGCAGACUAUAAAUAGGUGGCUUGCUUCCAUUCAUUCAGCAUAUAAACUUUGUUUUUCUAGUACUAUGGAACCACAUCCACCUACCGAUGAUGAAGAUGAUCUACCAGAAGCCGAUGACUUUGAUCCUACAGAGGUGUUCACCGUGGAAGAUUUCCUAGCAGAAGAUGAAAUUGUAGAAGAAUUUGUGAUGCAGAUUGGAGAUGGAUUAAAGGCAGACAUCGAAGGAGGAACAUCGUCUGUGACUCGGCGCCGACGACAAAGUGGACCAAGGAGGUACAUACCAAGGAGUCGAGAACAAGGUCAUGAUGAUCUUGUUGCUAAUUAUUUUUCUGCAAAUCCUAUCUUCACCGAUGAGAUGUUUCGUAGAAGGUUUCGAAUGAAUAAACCAUUAUUCCUGCGCAUCGUUGAAACUCUUAGUAAUUGGGAUCCUUAUUUUACUAGAAGAGUUGAUGCAACUGGUAGAGAGGGACAUUCACCCCUUCAGAAGUGUACUGCAGCAAUCCGGAUGCUAGCAUAUGGCUCGCCGGCCGACCAACUUGACGACGUCCUAAAAAUUGCUGCAAGCACUUCUUUGGAGAUUCUUGGAAAAUUUGCUGUAGGUGUGAUUGAAUGUUUUGGUCAAGAGUACCUGCGCCCUCCUACAAGUGACGAACUAGAAAAAAUUUUGCAAGAAAAUGAGGCUCGUGGUUUUCCAGGAAUGUUGGGAAGCAUCGAUUGUAUGCAUUGGGCAUGGAAGAAUUGUCCUAAAGAUUGGGCAGGCAUGUUCACACGUGGUGACAAAGGUGUUCCUACUAUGAUUCUUGAAGCAGUGGUAUCUCAUAAUCUUCGUAUCUGGCAUGCUUUCUUUGGUACCGCCGGGUCUCAGAAUGACAUCAAUGUCCUAAACAAGUCACCAUUGUUCAUCAAUGUUCUAAAAGGGGAAGCUCCAAGGGUACAAUACACCGUAAAUGGAAAACAGUAUGAUAUGGGCUACUAUCUCGCUGAUAAAAUAUAUCCAGAAUGGGCGGUCUUCUUGAAAACAAUAACAGCCCCCCAGACUCGUGAAGACAAAUUAUUUGCAUUGAUGCAAGAAGGAGCAAGGAAGGAUGUCGAAUGCGCAUUUGGCGUAUUGCAAUCCCGCUUUGAUAUUGUUCGUCGGCCAGCAAGGUUAUGGAAUCGGGAGGAUGUUAUCAACAUAAUGCAAGCUUGUGUUAUCCUUCAUAAUAUGAUAGUGGAGGAUGAGAAGGAAUUGGCUAGAGUUUCCUUGGAUUUGAAUGAGAAUGCAAGUACGACGAUUGUGCUCCCGCCUGAAGUGCAUAUAAGUGAUAACCCCAAUCCAUGCUUCGCGGAGGUGCUUAGAAGGAAUUCCGUUAUCCAAGCACGGCCAACGCAUAGACAACUCAGGGACGAUCUUGUUGAACACAUAUGGCAUCGCUAUGGAAACAAAAAAAUUAGAUAUGAAUAUUUCAGUCGUAUUUGAUUUAUGGGGACGAAGAUCUAUGUUAUAUUUGAUUGAAAUAUAUAGUAUAAUAUAAUAUAUGUUUUACUUUGCAGAAUUUAUUUUCUAUCCAUUAGCAACGCAAUAGUAUAUAGAAAUACUAUUCAUGAUUGAUCAUGGUUGCAUGCAAACAUUUAAUGAUUUGUUGACAGCCAAAACAGAUAGCAGCUGUCUGUGGGUUGUACGAGCUGUCUAUUUAGCCGUCUAUGUUGUAAAUUCCAAGAACUUAGAGACAGCAGCUGUCUCACUGUUGUACAUGCCCUUAUGUUGCAGGUUCGUUCUCCAAAGAAAAUCUUUUAUCUUUCCUUUUUUUAGUUCGCUUUCACGAUUCUUGCACAUAAGGAGGAAUGUCAAUCUAUCCCAGCUAAUCCUGCGCACUGAUCACGCAGUUCUUUGAUCAGGUCGAAGCAGCCCGUUACGAAGGUAGGAGUCGCUUGAUACUAGUGGAGCACGUUAUUUAAUAUAAAAGCUCGCUGUCUAAUGGCAUACAUCAGGCCUACGGUAUAUAUAUCUAAUGAAAAUAUUAAACAUCUGAUCAUGCAGUUCAUCUCUUCUAUUAUUUCAUCAACAAAUAGUUGACAUCAUGGGGAGUGGAGUACACAACAUGCACGGCGCACAUUGACACAUGACACUAACAAAUCAAAGCAACACUAAAAAUUGAUGAUAAUUCAUCAGCUUAAGGCUGAUGAACGAUGAACCGGACAGACUGACGCGUGCAUCCAUGUACGAGACAAACUACUCUAUCCUCCUAAUCUUGUCGCUGCUUCCGCCGCCGCCGGCGGCGGCCAUCACAGCUGUUUCCGAAGACCUCUUGGGGCUCGCGAUGGCCUUGGCCUUAGCCGCCUUCGCCUGCAGCUCGCGGGCCACCAGGGCCCUCAGCCGCAGGAGAUGCUGCUCGUGCGCGGCCAGCUCCGGCGCCCCCAUCGCCGACACGUCCCUGGCCACCGCCCGCCCGAUCAGGUCCUUCAGCUGCGCCUCCCGCCCGGCGCCGAGGAACUCGUUCCUGACCGCGGUGCCGUCGUCGGGGCGGAACACGAUGGCGUGCACGUCGACGCCGAACUCGCGCGCCACGUCGCGCGCCUGGGACAGCAGCUCCGCGUGCUUCGCCUCGAACAGCGCCUGCUGCGGCGGCUGCGUCGCGUUGGCCGCAGCGGCGCUCGGCGCCGGGGCGGGGUCGCCGGCGGCGUCGGGUUUCUUUGCGCCGGUUUCCAUGGCUCUGGUGGCGAUUGGAUUGGAUGGUGCGCUCUGGCUUGUCCACGUGAUAAGAUCACCUGGGCCUGUGCGCCCAUAUAUGUAGCUAGGAGCUUCUCCGACUAGAGGCUCGGAGUCGGAUUUAAUUUGGUUUCCGACAGUGAUUAGCAGUUAAUAUUCCUUAUUAGGAAAAGAGUCGCGUGGAAAUAUGCUGACGUGUAGUAAUAUUCCUGUGAUUAACUGAUCAUGCUCGUAUUUGAAAUUGAUUUGUUUUCGUUGAUAGGCGCGCGCAUCCAUAUCUGUCUGAAUCGGACAAGGAAGAGCUCUGCCUGGUGAUGGACGGCCAGAAGCUGUCCCUCGAGCGGUGCACAACAAGCGUCUUCCGUUCCGUGCCAUCGUGCAGGUUCUCUUCUUUGAGCAGCUCCAGCUGCGGAGCUCCAUUGCGGAUAUCUCCGAGCCCUUCGAUGGCGGCGUCUCGGGGCAGCCCACCGGCCUGCCAGUCUCCGGCGAGCACCACCGCGGCGCUUUCGGCUGGCAAGAGCAGGUUCACGUUCGCGCUCGCCGCAAGUCUGCAGCACCAAGCACUAAGGACAAGGAGGCUGCUCCCGAGACGUCAACGACGGCGGCGGCGAGCGAGGAGCCGAGGACAAGCUGGGCGUGGUCAUGGGUGCCGCUGGCAGUGACCGGCUAGAUCGCAGAAGCUCAGAAAGUACGAGAUGAACCUGUCUGCCUGUUUGAUAUAUUCGACAUACGCUACAGAGCCAAAAUGAACUCGACGACUGAUCAUAUGUUUUUUGACAUUUGCUCUCAGUGAAAAUGCAGAGCCAGCAUCUUUUGGACUAUCUUGACAGUCAUUGCAUUUCGAAAUCCAGUGUUUGCAGCAUUUUUCACAUCCAUAUGCCCCAUUGGAGGAACGUUCCAUUCUGUCAGAUAUUCAAAUUUAGAAAAAUUUUACUAGCAGCAUCCUACGAAACUCCUGUGAACUUUAGCAAACUCUUAGCUGCAAGAGCUCCCCAAAACGUAGAAGGAGCUAUUUUUUUUUGUUGGAAUAAACUUUCCAUUAAGAGCUGUACCUUGCGAGGCAAGAGCAUGCCCAGCUCUGUUACAAGUCCGGGGAUAGUGCACGACGCUGGCAAAAAAAAGAGAAACACGGCCUCUCUAAACAACACAACUCUCAGCUUUGCAAUGCCAUCUUCAGUUUAAUUGGAUCUGUUCUAACUUAUAAUCACAAUCCUCCCCACGCCUGAAUUUGUAGAAAGCUUUAAUGACGGAAUGCACGCCAUAGAGCUUCAGCUUGCAGAGCAUGUUUGUCACUGAGCACUUGAGCAGCCUGCACUUCAGCAACCUCUCACACCACAUCGGCUUGCCUCGAAAAGAAGACCGGCCCAGCUGCAGGCUCAGCAUAGUAUGCACAACCGUCGCAGCCCAAUAUCAGGCAAGCCCAUCUCGCCUGCCACGAAAGGAAACCCUAGCGCCCCCGCGAAUCCUACCUAUAAAACGCACGGCCGCCAACUUCAUCCCCCAGGUUAAAGCGACGCCGCCGCCACAAGCCGUCCGCCUUGCCCCCUCGAAGGCUUGGUCCUCCUCCUCCGUGUAUCUCCACCCCACAGAUCCGCCGACGCCUCUAGCUAGGGUUAGGUUUCCUCUGCAGCGAUGGCGAUCAAGCGGACCAAGGCGGAGAAGAAGCAGGCGUACGACCGCAAGCUGUGCAGCCUGCUGGAUGAGUACACCAAGGUGCUCAUCGCCCUCGCCGACAACGUCGGCUCCAAGCAGCUCCAGGACAUCCGCCGCGGGCUGAGGGGCGACUCAGUGGUGCUCAUGGGGAAGAACACGCUCAUCAGGCGCUGCAUCAAGGCUUACGCUGACAAGACGGGGAACCACACCUUCGACCCGCUCAUGGACCUCCUCGUCGGCAACGUUGGCCUCAUCUUCACCAAGGGUGACCUCAAGGAGGUCCGCGAGGAGGUCGCCAAGU